rnacentral:rRNA from 1 species
AUGGAGAAACUGAGUCCCACUGGACAUAUUCCUCAACCUUCACGGUCACUGGAUGACCUUCCUAUGAAAGUAGCUUGCACGCUAUCACAAGGAUCUAAUGUAACUAGCAUGGACUUUCAUCCUUCUCGUCAUACGCUACUACUAGUUGGAUCUGCUAAUGGUGAAUUUACACUCUGGGAGAUAAGUAUGCGUGAGAGGCUGGUCACAAAGCCCUUCGAAAUUUGGGACAUGCAAGCAUGUUCAACACAAUUUCAGAAGGGUGUCAUGGCUAAAGACUCUUCCAUGGCCGUUAAUCGAGUUACAUGGAGCCCUGAUGGAGACUUGAUUGGUGUUGCAUUUACAAAAAAUUUGAUCCAUCUGCAUGCAUACCGGCAUCCAAAUGAAACAUAUCAAUUUGUAGAGAUUGAGGCUCAUUCUGGAAGAGUUAAUGACAUAGUUUUCUCUCGGUCACGUAAGCAACUUUAUGUUGUCACUUGCGGAGAUGACAAGCUGAUAAAGGUCUGGGACAUGCAUGGGCAGAAAAUAUAUUCGUUUGAAGGGCAUGAGGCACCUGUGUAUUCUAUUUGCCCUCAUCACAUAGACCAGGUUAAGUUUAUUUUCUCAAUUUCCCUUGAUGGGAAAAUGAAGACAUGGCUUUAUGUGUAUCUGGGGACUAAGCUGGACUUUGAUAUUCCAGGAAAAUGGUGUGGUGCAAUUCUCAAUAGUGCCGAUGGAACUAGGUUGUUCUCUUGCGGAACAAGCAAAGAGGGAGACACACAUUUGGUUGAGUGGAACCAUGAAGGGUCUGUCGAGAGGUCAUAUUCUGGAUUCCGUAAAAAACCAUCUGGUGUAGCGCAGGGUGUCAUGCAGUUUGAUACAGCUCGGAAUCACAUUUUAGCUGCUGGCAAAGAUAACCAAAUUAUGUUUUGGGAUGUCGAUAACACCAACAUGCUUACCUGCAUUGAAGCUGGUGGAGGCUUGCCAAGGUUUCCACGGUUAAGGUUCAAUAAAGAAGGCAAUCUUCUUGCUGUUGAUACAGUAGAUAGUGGUUUUAAGAUACUUGCAAAUACUGAUGGGCUUAGAUCUUUACCGGCUUUUGGUAAUGUGCCUUCCGAAGUAUUCAGAUCGCCAUAUGAAGCUUCUGAGAUGAAGGUCUCAGGUCCUCCUAUUGUCGCGAGCAUCUCUCCUAACAUUGGCCAAACUGAUCACUUAGACACAAAAUAUCCUGCAAAGCCAUCUCAAGUGAAUGGCAGUGAUCCAGCAUUUGGAAGCGUAGAUAAAAAGCAAAGAAUUUCAGAAGAAAAGUCUGAUAAAGCGAAACCUUGGGAGCUGAAGGAGGUUCAGCAAUUUCGUGUUGAUACAAUGCCAGAAACUGACCAAGCCAGCAAGGUAUCCAAGGUGCUCGACGACGACAACCUCCUGAGGGAGAUCAUCAUCCGCGUCAGCUUCCCCACCACCCUCGUCCAUGCCGCCCUCGUCUGCAAGCGCUGGUACCAUCAUGCCUCCGAACCCGCCUUCCUCCGCCUUUUCCACGAGCGCCACNNNCCCUGCCUCCUCGGUUUCGACCUCGAGAACAGGAAGGAUUAUAACAUGGCUUCUAUUCGCUUCAUCCCGAUGCUACCUCAGCCCCCAGAGCUUUCCACCGUCAUCCGCACUGUGCAGAGCUACAGUUGGGGCUUCUACCAUGCCGCCCCGGCCAACUUCCGCUGCUCCCGGAAAGGCAGAGUCAUCGACAGCUUGUACAACCUGGUCAACGACAACAAUUUCACAAGUCGGGUGCACAGUCCAUUAUGUCCUGAGAGAGGCCUGGUUGUCGUCCCACCAUUACCACACAUCCAAAUCUAG